rnacentral:rRNA from 1 species
GUAGGUACUGCUACANACCAGGGACGGUAANAGUAGAACGUAGACUGCUAAUACCGCAUAAGCGCACGAGGCUGCAUGGCCCUGUGUGAAAAACUCCGGUGGUAUGGGAUGGAUCCGCGUCUGAUUAGCUAGUUGGUGAGAUAAAAGCCCACCAAGGCGACGAUCAGUAGCCGACCUGAGAGGGUGGCCGGCCACAUUGGGACUGAGACACGGCCCAGACUCCUACGGGAGGCAGCAG